GAUGAAGAACGUAGCGAAAUGCGAUAAGUAGUGUGAAUUGCAGAAUUCAGUGAAUCAUCGAAUCUUUGAACGCACAUUGCGCCCCUUGGUAUUCCAUGGGGCAUGCCUGUUCGAGCGUCAUUUGUACCUUCAAGCUCUGCUUGGUGUUGGGUGUUUGUCUCGCCUCUGCGUGUAGACUCGCCUCAAAACAAUUGGCAGCCGGCGUAUUGAUUUCGGAGCGCAGUACAUCUCGCGCUUUGCACUCAUAACGACGACGUCCAAAAGUACAUUUUUACACUCUUGACCUCGGAUCAGGUAGGGAUACCCGCUGAACUUAAGCAUAUCAAUAAGCAGAGGA
rnacentral:misc_RNA from 1 species